rnacentral:rRNA from 1 species
AGAGAUGUGUGAUGACGCAUAUCAAUAAGCGGAGGAAAAGAAACUAACAAGGAUUCCCUUAGUAACGGCGAGUGAAGCGGGAAGAGCUCAAGUUUGAAAUCUUCAAGGUUCUACCUUGACGAAUUGUAGUUUAUAAGAAGUGUUUUCUGUUAGUAGGAGUGGCAAAAGUUCUUUGGAAUAGGACAUCAUAGAGGGUGAGAAUCCCGUAUUUGGUCAUUCCUUUCUAGCUUUGUGAUACACUUUCAACGAGUCGGAUUGUUUGGGAAUGCAGUCCAAAAUGGGUGGUAAAUUUCAUCUAAAGCUAAAUAUUGGCGAGAGACCGAUAGCGAACUAAGUACCGUGAGGGAAAGAUGAAAAGAACUUUGAAAAGAGAGUUAAACAGUAUGUGAAAUUGUCAAAAGGGAAGCGUUUGACACCAGUGUUGUUUUUCCGAAAAUCAAUUACGAAUGUUUUAUUUUUGAGGAGUUAUGACUUCAUCGGCUUGCUCCUUUCUUUAUGAAACUUUCUUAAUGCACUUUUCGGUUAACAAGUCAACAUCAAUUUCUUUUGUUGUAAAAGAGUAUGAGGAAGGUGGCUUUCUUUUCGGAGAAAGUGUUUAUAGCCUUGUACCUCUGCAAUCGGAGAGAUUGAGGUCUGCAGCGUAGAUCCUUCGGGGUUAGAUACAUUUGUGCUAAGUUAUAGCUUUUCAUAGACAACUUGUUGACUAUGUUUAGUCUUGUAGCUUACUCGCUUAUGCUAUUUUACCUACGCUUAGGAUGUUGAUAGUCACAGCGUGUAC